GACGGGGGGGGCAAGCGUUCUUCGGAAUGACUGGGCGUAAAGGGCACGUAGGCGGUGAAUCGGGUUGAAAGUGAAAGUCGCCAAAAAGUGGCGGAAUGCUCUCGAAACCAAUUCACUUGAGUGAGACAGAGGAGAGUGGAAUUUCGUGUGUAGGGGUGAAAUCCGCAGAUCUACGAAGGAACGCCAAAAGCGAAGGCAGCUCUCUGGGUCCCUACCGACGCUGGGGUGCAAAAGCAUGGGGAGCGAACAGG
rnacentral:rRNA from 1 species